AAUGGGCGCAAGCCCUGAUCUAGCCAUGCCGCGUGAGUGAUGAAGGCUUUAGGGUCGUAAAGCACUUUCGCCUGUGAAGAUAAUGACUGUAGCAGGUAAAGAAACCCCGGCUAACUCCGUGCCAGCAGCCGCGGUAAUACGGAGGGGGUUAGCGUUGUUCGGAAUUACUGGGCGUAAAGCGCGCGUAGGCGGACAUUUAAGUCAGAGGUGAAAUCCCAGGGCUCAACCCUGGAACUGCCUUUGAUACUGGGUGUCUUGAGUUCGAGAGAGGUGAGUGGAAUUCCGAGUGUAGAGGUGAAAUUCGUAGAUAUUCGGAGGAACACCAGUGGCGAAGGCGGCUCACUGGCUCGAUACUGACGCUGAGGUGCGAAAGUGUGGGGAGCUAAUAGGAUU
rnacentral:rRNA from 1 species